rnacentral:misc_RNA from 1 species
GGCAAAGUUGAAUCCAUCAGCAACAUAUAACAAUGCUCAAGAAAUAGCAGCCGGGUCAGAUAUCAUCUUUACGGAUGAUGUUAGCCUUCAAGUAUUCUUUGAGCAUCUUCAGAGGUUGGCUGUGCAGUCUUGAGAAGAGAUGGCUUUCUUGAGGCUUAUAGGAAAAUUCUGAUCGUUCUUGCUGUGGGAAAAUUCACUGAGGGUUAUGUAUAUCUGGUGUGUUGUUGACUUCUUUUCUGGUCUUUCCAUUGUUUUCCAAGUUGAGAAGCCAAUAUUCCCACAUUCUCUCAUUUGAAGAAUAUAUGAGAACACUGAUGAAACAAAAUUCUUUUUUUGGGGGUACAUUCUCGGUCGGCA